AUGGCUCAGAACGAACGCUGGCGGCAUGCCUAACACAUGCAAGUCGAACGAGACCUUCGGGUCUAGUGGCGCACGGGUGCGUAACGCUGGGAAUCUGCCCUUUGCUUCGGAAUAACAGUUAGAAAUGACUGCUAAUACCGGAUGAUGUCUUCGGACCAAAGAUUUAUCGGCAAAGGAUGAGCCCGCGUAGGAUUAGGUAGUUGGUGGGGUAAAAGGCCUACCAAGCCGACGAUCCUUAGCUGGUCUGAGAGGAUGAUCAGCCACACUGGGACUGAGACACGGCCCAGACUCCUACGGGAGGCAGCAGUGGGGAAUAUUGGACAAUGGGCGCAAGCCUGAUCCAGCAAUGCCGCGUGAGUGAUGAAGGCCUUCGGGUCGUAAAGCUCUUUUACCAGGGAUGAUAAUGACAGUACCUGGAGAAUAAGCUCCGGCUAACUCCGUG
rnacentral:rRNA from 1 species